CAAAACGGAUCUUACAAAGUCCAGCUACAAACAUCAAAGGCCACUGUGGUUUCAUAAUUCUAGAUUUUACUUGCAAUAUCACCUGAGGAGUUUAKAGUGCAGAUUCAGAAGUGGUCACCUUUCUCUCUCUGCCUCAAGGACAUAGCUUCAAUUUGCAUACACAACUACAGUUGAUUCGUGAAGGCGUGAUUAUCGUCAGAGUCCUUCAAAYCUUCUUUGGAAGUUAGCAUCUGAGCACAGAUAAGACACUGCAAUCAAAUGUGUCUUUGCUGCUUAGGAAAAUAAGCUGCAUCUUGAUUCUCCCAACACGCCAAGGACCUGAACAAAUAGUGARAGAUAGGGAUGCAAAACUGACUGGGUUAAAUAAAUGCAAGUACUGAAGGUGAGGUGACCAUAUCAGUGGUUUGCUUGGAUAUCUGUAGUGUGUCUGUGGACACACCUAUGGUUAAGUAGAACUUCAAGCAGAUGGCUCUUCAUGCUUGUGCAACGCCUCUGCUGCUGCUGCACGUAUCUUUCAAUCAAAACUACUACUGCUAUUAUUCCUGUAAACUUUUACAUCUGCUGUAAUUAACUUUUAUA